AUACGGAGGACGCGAGCGUUAUCCGGAUUCAUUGGGUUUAAAGGGUGCGCAGGCGGCCGUGCAAGUCAGCGGUGAAAGCCCGGGGCUCAACCCCGGAAGUGCCGUUGAUGCUGCGUGGCUGGAAUGCGGUCGAGGCGGGCGGAACGUGGCGUGUAGCGGGGAAAUGCGUAGAUAUGCCACAAAACGGCGAUAGCGGAGGCAGCUGGCCAGGCCUGCAUUGACGCUCGGGCACGAAAGCGUGGGGAUCGAACAGGAUUAGAGACCCUGGGAGGCCACGCCGUAAACGAUGGGCGCUCGUCGUCGGCGGCAGACAGUCGGCGGCCAAGCGAAAGCGAUAAGCGCCCCACCUGGGGAGUACGGUCGCAAGGCUGAAACUCAAAUGAAUUGGCGGGG
rnacentral:rRNA from 1 species